rnacentral:rRNA from 1 species
UACGUAGGGCGCAAGCGUUAUCCGGAAUUAUUGGGCGUAAAGAGCUCGUAGGCGGUUUGUCGCGUCUGCCGUGAAAGUCCGGGGCUCGACCCCGGGCCUGCAGCCGAUACGGGCAAGCUAGAAUUCGGUAGGGGAGACUGGAAUUCCUGGUGUAGCGGUGAAAUGCGCAGAUAUCAGGAAGAACACCUAUGGCGAAGGCAGCUCUCUGGGACGGUACUGACGCUGAGACGCGAAAGCGUGGGGAGCGAACAGG